rnacentral:pre_miRNA from 1 species
GACCCUGUGUUUGGUAGGCAGUGUAUUGCUAGUUGACUGCUGUACGUAAUGCAGCAGUCACUGCUGCACUGUCACCGGCUGCAGGGCUG